rnacentral:rRNA from 1 species
CCCUUAGAUGUCCUGGGCCGCACGCGCGUUACACUGAUGCAUUCAACGAGCUUAUAACCUUGGCCGAGAGGCCUGGGCAAUCUUGUUAACGUGCAUCGUGAUAGGGAUAGAUUAUUGAAAUUAUUAAUCUUGAACGAGGAAUUCCUAGUAAACGCAGAUCAUCAAUCUGCAUUGAUUACGCCCCUGCCCUUUGUACACACCGCCCGUCGCACCUACCGAUUGGAUGGUCCGGUGAAGCCUCGGGAUUGUGGUUCUUGCCGCUUUAUUGUAGCGUGACCGCGAGAACUUGUCUAAACCUUAUCAUCUAGAGGAAGGUGAAGUCGUAACA